AACUUGCUUCUAGAGCAAUUACACAGUGUGAAUGCACGUUUGCGUAUAUUAAUACGUGGGAAAUGGCGAUUCUCACUUCAUGUGUUGCUGUACCUCUGAUGGCGUCGUCAGAAAUCGCGAGCCUGACUGGAAAAUUUUUCGCAGUGUUUCCUCGUCAGUGAUUACAAGUGCAUGAAUCAAACGCAGUGAGAAUGGUCCUUUAGGACUCCAUUCCCAGCUUUUUUAUACGAAGCUCGUUGUAUUUCUACCUUAUGUGAAAAACAAAACAAGUGCAGUAUUGAAUAUGGAAUGCUUUUGCAUAAUUUCUCUAUCAAAGUGAGGAAUAUUUUAUAGCAAAAAAUUGGAUAAUGCAGAUAAUGUCUUAUUUUUCCGAAGGUCCUUAAAGCCCUGCAUUCAUUCCUGAUUAAGUGUGGCAGAAGUAAGAGUUAAUGCAUGUAAUAAUUUCAUAAACAAGCUCUGUUGAUUAUUAAAUGAAAUUCUUCCAGACGAUACUAACUGUCCCUGAAAAAUAAAAAUUCUCUAUAAAAGUUUGCAGAAAAGUAUCUUUGUAACUACAGAAAUAUAGUUUCAUGAUCGUAAAGUAUUUCCACUUGCUGUGAAAAGUUUGAAGUCUGAAAUGUACAUCUGAUAUAGGGCUGGUUAACUUCGUUGAAGAAACUUUCGCCUCGCCAAAUCUCCAAUUUUUAUCUGUCACGUCACGGCAGUGCAAAACUUGAACUUUUACUUUAAGAACGGAGCGUUA